rnacentral:rRNA from 1 species
UCCGCCAGGGGACUACAAGCACAGCUUAAAACCCAAAGGACUUGGCGGUGCCUCAGACCCACCUAGAGGAGCCUGUUCUAGAACCGAUAACCCCCGUUAAACCUCACCACCUCUUGUUUAUCCCGCCUAUAUACCGCCGUCGUCAGCUUACCCUGUGAAGGCUCAACAGUAAGCAAAACGGGCCCAGCCCAAAACGUCAGGUCGAGGUGUAGCGCACGAGAUGGGAAGAAAUGGGCUACAUUUUCUAUUACAGAACACCACGAACAGCGCCCUGAAACAUGACGCCUGAAGGAGGAUUAGUCGCUAAAAGCAAA